rnacentral:rRNA from 1 species
ACGGAGGGUGCAAGCGUUAUCCGGAUUCACUGGGUUUAAAGGGUGCGUAGGUGGGCAGGUAAGUCCGUGGUGAAAUCCCCGAGCUUAACUCGGGAACUGCCGUGGAUACUAUCUGUCUUGAAUAUUGUGGAGGUAAGCGGAAUAUGUCAUGUAGCGGUGAAAUGCUUAGAUAUGACAUAGAACACCAAUUGCGAAGGCAGCUUACUACACAGUAAUUGACGCUGAGGCACGAAAGCGUGGGGAUCAAACAGGA